GACGAACGCUGGCGGCGUGCUUAACACAUGCAAGUCGAACGAAGAGCGAUGGAAGCUUGCUUCUAUCAAUCUUAGUGGCGAACGGGUGAGUAACGCGUAAUCAACCUGCCCUUCAGAGGGGGACAACAGUUGGAAACGACUGCUAAUACCGCAUACGAUCUAAUCUCGGCAUCGAGGAUAGAUGAAAGGUGGCCUCUACAUGUAAGCUAUCACUGAAGGAGGGGAUUGCGUCUGAUUAGCUAGUUGGAGGGGUAACGGCCCACCAAGGCGAUGAUCAGUAGCCGGUCUGAGAGGAUGAACGGCCACAUUGGGACUGAGACACGGCCCAGACUCCUACGGGAGGCAGCAGUGGGGAAUCUUCCGCAAUGGACGAAAGUCUGACGGAGCAACGCCGCGUGAGCGAUGACGGCCUUCGGGUUGUAAAGCUCUGUUAAUCGGGACGAAAGGCCUUCUUGCGAAUAGUGAGAAGGAUUGACGGUACCGGAAUAGAAAGCCACGGCUAACUACGU
rnacentral:rRNA from 1 species